rnacentral:rRNA from 1 species
UACGUAGGGGGCAAGCGUUGUCCGGAAUCAUUGGGCGUAAAGCGCGUGUAGGCGGCUCGAUAAGUCUGCUGUGAAAGUCCAGGGCUCAACCCUGGGAUGCCGGUGGAUACUGUCGAGCUCGAGUCCGGAAGAGGCGAGUGGAAUUCCUGGUGUAGCGGUGAAAUGCGCAGAUAUCAGGAGGAACACCAAUGGCGAAGGCAGCUCGCUGGGACGUGACUGACGCUGAGACGCGAAAGCGUGGGGAUCAAACAGG